UGGGGAAUAUUGGACAAUGGGGCAACCCUGAUCCAGCCAUGCCGCGUGAGUGAUGAAGGCCUUCGGGUUGUAAAGCUCUUUUGGCGGGGACUGAUGAUGACGGUACCCGCAGAAUAAGCCCCGGCUAACUUCGUGCCAGCAGCCGCGGUAAGACGAAGGGGGCUAGCGUUGUUCGGAAUUACUGGGCGUAAAGCGAGUGUAGGCGGUUGCCGUAGUCAGGUGUGAAAGCCUUGAGCUCAACUCAAGAAAUGCACUUGAUACUGGGUGACUAGAGGACCGGAGAGGAUAGUGGAAUUCCCAGUGUAGUGGUGAAAUACGUAGAGAUUGGGAAGAACACCAGUGGCGAAGGCGGCUAUCUGGACGGUUACUGACGCUAAGACUCGAAAGCGUGGGGAGCAAACAGGAUUAGAUACCCUGGUAGUCCACGCCGUAAACGAUGGGUGCUAGACGUUGGCGAGCUUGCUCGUCAGUGUCGCAGCUAACGCGUUAAGCACCCCGCCUGGGGAGUACGGCCGCAAGGUUGAAA
rnacentral:rRNA from 1 species